rnacentral:rRNA from 1 species
AUACGUAGGGAGCGAGCGUUGUCCGGAAUUACUGGGUGUAAAGGGAGCGUAGGCGGGAGUGCAAGUCAGAUGUGAAAUGCAUGGGCUUAACCCAUGAGCUGCAUUUGAAACUGCAUUUCUUGAGUGAAGUAGAGGUAAGCGGAAUUCCUGGUGUAGCGGUGGAAUGCGUAGAUAUCGGGAGGAACACCAGUGGCGAAGGCGACUUGCUGGGCUCUAACUGACACUGAGGCUCGAAAGCGUGGGUAGCAAACAGGAUUAGAUACCCUGGUAGUCCACGCCGUAAACGAUGAUUACUAGGUGUGGGGGGACUGACCCCUUCCGUGCCGCAGCUAACGCAAUAAGUAAUCCACCUGGGGAGUACGGCCGCAAGGUUGAAACUCAAAUGAAUUGACGGGG